rnacentral:rRNA from 1 species
AUUGAACGCUGGCGGCAGGCCUAACACAUGCAAGUCGAGCGAGCGGCCGACGGGCGAGUAAUGUAUGCGUGUCUGACUGCUCGGGGGGGAUAACUACUAGAAACGAUAGCUAAUACCGCCUACGCUCGGUUGUGCCCACGCGGGAUUAGCUAGUAGGUUGGGUAAUGGCUCACCUAGGCGACGAUCCAUACCUGGUCUGAGAGGAGGAUCAGCCACACUGGAACGGAGACACGGGCCAGACUCCUACGGUAGGCAGCAGUGGGGAAUAUUGCACAAUGGGGGAAAGCCUGAUGCAGCCAUGCCGCGUGGGUGAAGAAGGCCUUCGGGUUGUAAAGCACUUGCAGCGGGGAGGCGUUACCCGCAGAAGAAGCACCGGCUAACUCCGUGCCAGCAGCCGCGGUAAUAC